rnacentral:misc_RNA from 1 species
UGAUGCUGGGGAUGGUGUUGAUGACGCGAAACUUUGUAUUUGAAACUGCAAAUGCUGCAAUCCUUCGUCUCACUAAAGAAAUUUCUUGGAUGGAAGAGGUUCUGGCUGCAGAAUCAUCUCUGAGAACAGGUCCCCCAUCUACUUAUGCUGAUCAAGUGUUUGCAAAUGAGAUGAAUAUUGCAGUCCGAAUGACUGAGAAAAAUUACCGGGAAUACAUGUUUAGAGAAGCUUUGAAAACUGGAUUUUAUGAUUUGCAAGCUGCCAGG